rnacentral:rRNA from 1 species
UUAGGAAUAUUCGUCAAUGGGGGAAACCCUGAACGAGCAAUGCCGCGUGAGUGAUGAAGGUCCUAUGGAUUGUAAAACUCUGUUGUAUGGAAAAAUGCUAGGUUAGGAAAUGAACUUAGUUUGAUGGUACCAUACCAGAAAGCCCCGGCUAACUACGUGCCAGCAGCCGCGGUAAUACGUAGGGGGCGAGCGUUAUCCGGAUUUAUUGGGCGUAAAGCGUGCGUAGGCGGUUUAUUAAGUUUAAGAUAAAGCCCGGAGCUUAACUCCGGUUCGUCUUAAAAACUGGUAGACUUGAGUGUGGUAGAGGUAAAUGGAAUUUCUAGUGUAGCGGUGAAAUGCGUAGAUAUUAGAAGGAACACCAGUGGCGAAGGCGAUUUACUGGGCCAUAACUGACGCUGAGGCACGAAAGCGUGGGUAGCAAAUAGGAUUAGAUACCCU